rnacentral:rRNA from 1 species
UCCAGACUCCUACGGGAGGCAGCAGUGGGGAAUAUUGCACAAUGGGGGGAACCCUGAUGCAGCGACGCCGCGUGAGUGAAGAAGUAUUUCGGUAUGUAAAGCUCUAUCAGCAGGGAAGAAAAUGACGGUACCUGACUAAGAAGCCCCGGCUAACUACGUGCCAGCAGCCGCGGUAAUACGUCGGGGGCAAGCGUUAUCCGGAUUUACUGGGUGUAAAGGGAGCGUAGACGGCAGCGCAAGUCUGAAGUGAAAGCCCGGGGCUCAACCCCGGGACUGCUUUGGAAACUGGGUGGCUGGAGUGCUGGAGAGGCAAGCGGAAUUCCUAGGGUAGCGGUGAAAU